UACGAAGGGGGCUAGCGUUGCUCGGAAUCACUGGGCGUAAAGCGCACGUAGGCGGAUCUUUAAGUCAGGGGUGAAAUCCUGGAGCUCAACUCCAGAACUGCCUUUGAUACUGGGGAUCUCGAGUCCGGAAGAGGUGAGUGGAACUCCGAGUGUAGAGGUGAAAUUCGUAGAUAUUCGGAAGAACACCCGUGGCGAAAGCGGCUCUCUGGAACGGUACUGACGCUGAGACGCGAAAGCGUGGGGAGCGAACAGG
rnacentral:rRNA from 1 species